AUGAUGACCCACUCGCAGGUUUUGUGGGAUUACGGAGUGGAGUCCAAAGCCUUCAAAUUAGUAAGAAUCACCGUUUCCAAAGUUGAAGGAACUGGGAUGUUUUGUCUGAAGAAGGGCUCUCAUAUAGGAAUGAAGGUGACUGCUGCCUGCCUUCCCAGGAAGGAACUGGAACCCAUGGUGACAUUUCAGGAAGGCCAAUUUCAGCUCCCUGUAAGGAUCAAAAAUGUGAGUGAUGUGAAAACCCGACAGACCGUCACCCCAAAAAGGGAGCUUCACAUCACUGAAGUAUCCAGCCAGGGGACCAUCCGUGGUGUUGGGGCACAAGAUAGACCAGUAGUCUCCUGGGACUGGUCCAGCUCUAAACUGGAUGGAGGGAAGGAAGGCCGUGGCUUUGGAUGCCCUCUCAGGAGAGGACGUCUUCAGCAGAGCUGUAGGGCCUCAGAGCACCGCCUUCAAGAGCUUGGCGGGGGCUGCCCAGUCCAGACUUUCGCCCGCCGCCCCCCGCCGGGCUGGACCCCCUCCCGGGGACCACAGAACCUCUCUGUGUUUGUCCUCUGGUAAGCAGUGUUUCUCAACUGGCACUUGCCACCUCGGGUCAUGUCGACAGCUGGCGUAUAGUCAAUGAUUACUGACGCAGCUUAUGUAUCUUGACUGAGGAUUGGAACACAUAUUUUCUGUUUAGUUAAUAUUCACUGCAGACGUCUUUACUCCACAGGCAUUUGGUUCUUACGGCCCUGUGGCGGAAAGGAGGGGAAUGUGACAUGGAAAGCACGCAGACGGUUCUCAACCCGUCCGAAUCAAACAAGAAAGAGACAUAGGACUUCAAAGGGAAGGUGCACAGCCGUGGCCUUUAAUGUCUUAACAAAAAAAAAAGAGGAAAGAAGAGGAAAGAAAAUAGAGGAGAGCCGUUGUGGUUGCAACAAUGGUCUUGGAGCAGCCUAAUCAGAGUUAUCGUCAAACUAUCACCCUUGUUUCUUAGGGGCAAACAUUACCUCUUAUCCUGGUUUUCCUUAUUUGUGGAGUUGGCACACCCUCGCUGGCCACCUGGAGGUAGCCGGCAGAUUUCCAACAGGUGGAAGCCCUGCAGGCAGAGCGGAGCGCACCCCAGCCACUCGGCUCCGCUCUGCGCUCCUCAAGGGCAGCUGGGCUGCCCUUCCCACCUGGGGAUCUCCAUGUGGGUCCGAUGUUCAAGGCCUCCUACUAGGGAACUGGAACCCGGCUAAAAGGAGCUGUGUGGUGUGGAAAAGAGGGGGCCCCCGGGGUGGGUGCAAAUGCCAGCUGACAGCCCAGGCCCAUCCUCAGAAGGUGAAGGAGGGAGGGAGACCUGUCUCCCAACUAGAUGCAGCCGUGGGUGCUUGCUCCAGCGCCAAGAGGGGCAGGCUCUUCGUUUCUCUUUCUUUCUUCCUUUUUGAUUAAAAAAAAUUGGGUUUAAGUUUUUUCUUUGAACAAUCUUAUUUAUUAUCACUUUAAAAUAUAUCGAAAUGUAGUUGGAAGCCCUUCUGAAAAGUGUGUCUGAGAGUGCUGCAGGCUGGCCCCAGAGAUGUGGGCUUGAAAAGGGAGGAGCCCAGGAGGGAGGUGGAGGCAGAGAGGAAGUGUCUUCUUCCUCUUCUUGCCUUGGCAGGAUCGUAUAGCCUCACAAAAAUCUCCGUUCCCUUGAAAGACUGCCGCCGCUGAAGGGGAACCCCAACCUUGGUCAUGGCACUGACCGGCCUCCAUCCAUUGCAGACCUCCUGAUCAGGGGGUGCUUUAGCUUCUUUGGCUCUUAAUAACCCUGGGGUGAGGGGGUGGGCAGGCACCACCCUUCCCCUGGUUCUGGUGCUGAGCGUCAGGGCUGUCAGUCACCGGCUCAAGGUCACACUGCUCAUAAAACGGCACAUCCAGAGUCUGAAAUUGGACCUUCUAACUCCAAAGUCUAAUCUCUUCCCAAGAUUCAUGCUGCCUUGCCCACAUGCUCCCGAAGUCCAGUGUGCACCCUCUGCUUGUGAAGGAGGUCACUGUUUGCAAACUGCUUUGUAAGUCCUAGUGUCCUUUUAUGAGACGUGUCGUGGAUGUAUCUGUACACCAAAUGACCUCGUGAAGCUCAGAAAGGUGAAAUAACUAGGCCAGAGUCACAUAGCAAAGUGGGGGUUUGAUUCAAAUGUGUUCGUGUGCUCUCAAGAAUCCUGAAGAGUGUUCUCAGGGUGGGGGAAAGGAUUUAACCAGCUUCGGCCUUGUCUUGCUUUAUGUGGCUCCGCUCUUUGGGGGAGAAGCAUGUAAUUACUAGAAGGCCAAAAGGAAAGCAAAGCAAGAGUGACACCUGGGAGGCUGUGAGAGGAUCCCCCAUGGUGAGGAGGGUCCUGACAACUCACCAUCUGUCUACUCCUGGGUGCUCCAGAAGGCAUAGAAGUGAUUGUCCAAGGGCCCCUGGGGGGCUCAUUGGUUGAGCAUCUGCCUUUGGCCCAGGUUGUGAUCCCAGGGUCCUGGGAUCGAGUCCCACAUCGGGCUCCCCGCAUGGAGCCUGCUUCUCCCUCUGCCUGUGUCUCUGCCUCUCUCUCUGGGUCUCUCACGAAUAAAUAAAUAAG
rnacentral:lncRNA from 12 species